GACGAACGCUGGCGGCGUGCUUAACACAUGCAAGUCGAACGGAAAGGCCCUGCUUUUGUGGGGUGCUCGAGUGGCGAACGGGUGAGUAACACGUGAGUAACCUGCCCUUGACUUUGGGAUAACUUCAGGAAACUGGGGCUACUACCGGAUAGGAGCUCCUGCUGCAUGGUGGGGGUUGGAACGUUUCGGCGGUUGGGGAUGGACUCGCGGGUUAUCAGCUUGUUGGUGGGGUAGUGGCUUACCAAGGCUUUGACGGGUAGCCGGCCUGAGAGGGUGAACGGCGACAUUGGGACUGAGAUACGGCGCAGACGCCUACGGGAGGCAGCAGUGGGGAGUAUUGCACAGUGGGGGGAAGCCUGAUGCAGCAACGCCGCGUGCGGGAUGACGGGCUUCGGGUUGUAAACCGCUUUCGCCUGUGACGAAGCGUGAGUGACGGUAAUGGGUAAAGAAGCACCGGCUAACUACGUG
rnacentral:rRNA from 1 species